UACGUAGGGGGCAAGCGUUGUCCGGAAUCAUUGGGCGUAAAGCGCGUGUAGGCGGCUCGGUAAGUCUGCUGUGAAAGUCCAGGGCCCAACCCUGGGAUGCCGGUGGAUACUGUCGAGCUCGAGUCCGGAAGAGGCGAGUGGAAUUCCUGGUGUAGCGGUGAAAUGCGCAGAUAUCAGGAGGAACACCAAUGGCGAAGGCAGCUCGCUGGGACGUGACUGACGCUGAGACGCGAAAGCGUGGGGAGCAAACAGG
rnacentral:rRNA from 1 species